GCCUCACAAUGUUGCUAGGAUAUUAGGUUGUCAACAGAAUGAAACACUACCAUCAUGACUACCAAAAGGAGAGACCAAGAAGAGAACUGAGCAUACCCGAAGAAGAAACUGAAUUUAAAACAAAUUUCAGCAGAAAGGUAACUUGUAAAACAAGGCAAUUAAACCAUCGUCCAGGGGACUUUGAGUACUAACUCUACUGAGUCAAUAAAAGGAGAAAGAUGAAUCCAAAACAGUUAAGCCUUGGGCCUAACAAAAUGUUUAGCAAAAAACUUUCUUGCAAAACAGGUGCUUCUUCAGACUGGGAAGCUACACUACUACAGAAACUAACACCAGGACGACGAUGCUAUUUGAAAAGAAUCAUGGAUACUUAUGAUUCUAAGCCUGAAUGGGAGAAACUGAAAAGGCAAUAUGCUCUCAGUCUCUUCUACAAAUAU